GUUGAUGUGAAUUUUGGCAGUGAGUCCGGUGAGGGAGCUUCUGGUCGACACCCACGUGACCACAGGCACCUACGUCACCAUGGAUCAAAGUCCAGUAGCGGCGCCUGGCUCCUCCUUGUCCAAAGCUCUGAGCAGACGAAGAGACUGACACAAGUGCUGUAGUUAUCGUAGCUACGACGGACGUGCAACCAUGGAUACCCUGGAUAGAGUGGCGACCACGGCCAGGCAUCGUGGCUACAGUGAGGGUCACGGCCGUCCACUGUAGCUACAGUGAUGGUCACGGCCGCCCACCGAAACUACGGUGAUGGUCACGACCGCCCAACGAAGCUACGGUGAUGGUCACGGCCGCCCACCGAUGCUACGGUGAUGGUCACGGCCGCCCACCGAAGCUACGGUGAUGGUCACGGCCGCCCACCGAAGCAACAGUGAUGGUCAUGGCCGCCCACCGAA